CCCUGUUCUGUUAUACUACCUUAACUUCUGCUAAUAAACACCUUCGUGGGUGUUCUAUACUAGAUGGCUAAAUUGUUUACUAUCUUGCUAUCGAAAUAAAAAACGGACUCCAAACAAAUAGUAUCAAAAAGGAAAAAACAAUUAAACAGUGAUCAUAGAUAAGUGAAGGGAGGGUUUUCCUUAGUGCAUAGUAGGUGGUGCACUGUGAUGUGCCAAAGGAAAGUGGUAG